rnacentral:rRNA from 1 species
GAUGAACGCUGGCGGCGUGCCUAAUACAUGCAAGUCGAGCGAACAGACGAGGAGCUUGCUCCUCUGACGUUAGCGGCGGACGGGUGAGUAACACGUGGAUAACCUACCUAUAAGACUGGGAUAACUUCGGGAAACCGGAGAUAAUACCGGAGAAUAUAUUGAACCGCAUGGUUCAAUAGUGAAAGACGGUUUUGCUGUCACUUAUAGAUGGAUCCGCGCCGCAUUAGCUAGUUGGUAAGGUAACGGCCUACCAAGGCAACGAUGCGUAGCCGACCUGAGAGGGUGAUCGGCCACACUGGAACUGAGACACGGUCCAGACUCCUACGGGAGGCAGCAGUAGGGAAUCUUCCGCAAUGGGCGAAAGCCUGACGGAGCAACGCCGCGUGAGUGAUGAAGGUCUUCGGAUCGUAAAACUCUGUUAUUAGGGAAGAACAAAUGUGUAAGUAACUAUGCACGUCUUGACGGUACCUAAUCAGAAAGCCACGGCUAACUACGUG